AUUUUCGGGUUUGAGGACUUUCGUGCCAUCUGCCAAGAAGACUCGUUGUGCGGCCAUGUUCAGACUCAGCUUGUCUGUAUACUCUUCCAGCAACUAGAAGGAAAUAACAGUUUCGAGAACACGGGUUGGAGGGCAUCUCAUGUUUUCUAAAAUGUAAUUAGCAACAUUGUGACUCCAGUGUUUUCAAAGUAAAAAAUUCCAAUAACAAUAGAAAACAGAACCCAAACCCAAAUGAUACGCUGUGUUUUAAUGUCUGAAAUGGUCAAUGGAGUCACUAUAAAUUCUGCUCAAAUAAAAGAGCUUCAACAGUUGGUUAAAAAGAACAGUGAGUGCCUUUGAUUACCUCAGCUGACCCACUGGCACGCUGACA
ensembl:lincRNA Gm29053 predicted gene 29053